rnacentral:misc_RNA from 1 species
UUUCCGUAGGUGAACCUGCGGAAGGAUCAUUACUGAGUGAUUUGGUGUACACCUUUCCCUUCUAGGGUAGGUGUCCGCCGGUUACCCGCCCUUAUGUCAUCUGCACGGACCCGCUUUUUCUGCCGACCCCCCAGGGUCCCAGAAGGGUGGGGACGAGAAUCUAUUUCCGCCGAGGUGGUGUGUCUCUCGCAAGAAAGGCACAUCCGCGGCGGGACCAUAGCCUUUUUACUCCUUAUGAGAAUCUGAAGUCUGAAUAAAAAAUAAAUUGAAGCAAGACUUUCAACAACGGAUCUCUGGGCUCUGGCAUCGAUGAAGAACGCAGC